rnacentral:lncRNA from 1 species
CUAAAGGUUAAAUUGAUCACUGAUGGCCAAUGAUGUAAUUGAUCAUGCCUACUUAACAAAGCCUCCAUAAAACUCAAAAGAACGAAAUUCCGAUUCCGGAUGGCUGAACAUGUGGAGAUUCCUAAAGGGUGUCCUGCCUGGGAGAGCAUGUUGUCCUGCUUGAGAGAGAAAAGGACACAGAUGAAGAGUCACAUAGGGUGAAGUAUAGAGUGGUUGAGCGCCCCGUCUCUACACUUCACCUUUUGUAUCUCUUCAUAUGUAUCCUUUGUAAUAUACUUUAUAAUAAACCAAUAAUCGCAAAUGGAGCCCCACUCUGUUGCCCAGACUGGAGUGCAGUGGCGUGAUCUCGGCUCACCGCAACUUCCGCCUCCCGGGUUCAAGUGAUUCUCCUGCCUCAGCCUUCCAACUAGCUGGGAUUGCAGUGUCAUGAUGGCCCCAAUGUGACUGCAACUUCUAGGUGUUAUGAAACAAAAGGGACAACAACAACAGCAGCAAAGUUUCCUUAAUCUGAAUAAAACAUAUUUAUAUUUAAUAUGCAAUGCUCUAUAUUUAAGUUUAUUUCUGUCUGCUUAGAUUAUAAGUUUAGUCC